UACGGUAGGGGGCUAGCGUUGUCCGGAAUCAUUGGGCGUAAAGAGCGUGUAGGCGGCCAGGUAGGUCCGUUGUGAAAACUCGAGGCUCAACCUCGAGACGUCGGCGGAAACCCUCUGGCUAGGAGUCCGGAAGAGGAGAGUGGAAUUCCUGGUGUAGCGGUGAAAUGCGCAGAUAUCAGGAAGAACACCCGUGGCGAAGGCGGCUCUCUGGGACGGUACU
rnacentral:rRNA from 1 species